GCACUUGUGGCCGAGCGGUUAAGCUCCAUCUUACAAUUGGAUACAGGGGUUCGAUUCCCUUCGGGUGCA
rnacentral:tRNA from 1 species